CCACGUUUUGUCCUGCCAGUCAAAUGACUUGUCUCCAGCUCUGCUGCUGACUAUACACUCUAUAAGCCUUUAAAAAUGUAUGGUUGAAGAAGAAGGAGAAUCCCACAGUAGUAUUAAAGACACCGAUGCAUAGCUUAACCCAGGUGCCACUGCAACCAUUCUAAAUAAGGAACCAUAUACUGUGUUAUACCCAUAUUUUGAGCCAUGCACACUCUAGAGGUUAGGAAGUGUUUUCACAGCUUCUUUCUUCUUUUUUAAUGUGUGGUUUGGCACUUCUGCCAGUUGUUGAGGCUGCCCAAACCUCAGAGUACAGAAGAAGUUGUUUAUAAAAAGAACAGAGAUUUGAAACUCAGGCUUUAUGUGAUGUGGAUUUGCCUACCCCUGUGUUGGGACAAAGUAGUAACAGCUUUUGUGUCACCCAGCAGUACUAAUUUUUCAAGAUCCUAAUAAUAUAAACCUGGGCUACCUAUGUAUUAUUUAGGAAUAUCAGACUUUGCUGUACUUGUUUGGGGCCACAUUGCUCUAAUUUAUCUAGGUUUCCUUCACACAUGCUACUAUACAAAAGUCAUGAAAACAAUCUGACAGAAAGUGGUAUGAAAUUAAAUUUUAAGAUGAUUAAAGGACAGGAGCAUGAGUUUUAAGACAUGGUUUAGAACAAACAUAACAAAUUCUAUAUCUAUGGAGUCUGCUGUAGAUCUGUCUUGGGACCAUCAUUCUUUUUUGCUUUUUGUUUCUUUAACAAGCUAUAAUGGGUAUACUCUUCUACUCAUUGAUUAAUUUUGUAAGUGCUAAAAGAAGGAAAGAAAAUAUUUAGAAGGUGCAAAAAAUUAAAAUGUAGGAAAUGGCAAGAAUUGGAGAAAAGCUAAGCAAUGCAAUA